rnacentral:rRNA from 1 species
AUUGAACGCUGGCGGCAGGCCUAACACAUGCAAGUCGAACGAGUGGCGGACGGGUGAGUAAUGUCUGGGAAACUGCCUGAUGGAGGGGGAUACAUACUGGAAACGGUAGCUAAUACCGCAUACCAUCGGAUUUGCCCAGAUGGGAUUAGAUAGUAGGUGGGGUAAAGGCUCACCUGGGCGACGAUCCCUAGCUGGUCUGCGAGGAUGACCGGCAACACUGGAACUGAGAAACGGUCCAGACUCCUACGGGAGGCAGCAGUGGGGAAUAUUGCACAAUGGGCGCAAGCCUGAUCCAGCCAUGCCGCGUGUGUGAAGAAGGUCUUCGGAUUGUAAAGCACUUUAAGUUGGGAGGCGUUACCAACAGAAUAAGCACCGGCUAACUUCGUGCCAGCCGCCGCGGUAAUAC